GAUGAACGCUGGCGGCGUGCCUAAUACAUGCAAGUCGAGCGAACAGACGAGGAGCUUGCUCCUCUGACGUUAGCGGCGGACGGGUGAGUAACACGUGGAUAACCUACCUAUAAGACUGGGAUAACUUCGGGAAACCGGAGCUAAUACCGGAUAAUAUAUUGAACCGCAUGGUUCAAUAGUGAAAGACGGUUUUGCUGUCACUUAUAGAUGGAUCCGCGCUGCAUUAGCUAGUUGGUAAGGUAACAGCUUACCAAGGCAACGAUGCGUAGCCGACCUGAGAGGGUGAUCGGCCACACUGGAACUGAGACACGGUCCAGACUCCUACGGGAGGCAGCAGUAGGGAAUCUUCCGCAAUGGGCGAAAGCCUGACGGAGCAACGCCGCGUGAGUGACGAAGGUCUUCGGAUCGUAAAACUCUGUUAUUAGGGAAGAACAAAUGUGUAAGUAACUGUGCACGUCUUGACGGUACCUAAUCAGAAAGCCACGGCUAACUACGUG
rnacentral:rRNA from 1 species